AAGCUCGUAGUUGGAUUUCUGUUAAUAAUUUAUAUAUAAUAUUUGAUUAAUAUUUAUAUAAUAUUAACAUAAUUCAUAUUACUAAAUUUAUUAGUAUAUGAAAUUUUACUUUGAGAAAAUUAGAGUGCUUAAAGCAGGCAUAUGCCUUGAAUACUCCAGCAUGGAAUAAUAUUAAAGAUUUUUAUCUUUCUUAUUGGUUCUAAGAUAAAAAUAAUGAUUAAUAGGGACAGUUGGGGGCAUUUGUAUUUAACAGUCAGAGGUGAAAUUCUUAGAUUUGUUAAAGACAAACUAAUGCGAAAGCAUUUGCCAAGGAUGUUUUCAUUAAUCAAGAACGAAAGUUAGGGGAUCGAAGACGAUCAGAUACCGUCGUAGUCUUAACCAUAAACUAUGCCAACUAGAGAUUGGAGGUUGUUCCUUACUCCUUCAGCACCUU
rnacentral:rRNA from 1 species